UACGUAUGGUGCAAGCGUUAUCCGGAUUUACUGGGUGUAAAGGGAGCGUAGGCGGCGCGUUAAGUCUGAUGUGAAAACCCGAGGCUCAACCACGGGAGUGCAUUGGAAACUGGCGGGCUGGAGUGCCGGAGAGGUAAGCGGAAUUCCUAGUGUAGCGGUGAAGUGCGUAGAUAUUAGGAGGAACACCAGUGGCGAAGGCGGCUUACUGGACGGCAACUGACGCUGAGGCUCGAAAGCGUGGGGAGCAAACAGG
rnacentral:rRNA from 1 species